UGAGUUAGCCGGACGGUCGCAUCAUUUUUUUGAUGAGGAAAGUCCGAGCAUCGCAGGGCGGAGCGCAAGAUAACAUCUUGUGGAGGCGACUCCAAGGAUAGUGCAACAGAAAUAAACCGCAUUAUAAUAUUAGACGGUUCUUAAAAAAACCGUCCGCGAGGAAUAUUCCGCGCGGAAAUAAUUAAUGCAAGGAUGGAAAGGGGAGGCAAGAGCUCACCGGCGUUUUGGCGACAUUACGCGCUAUGUAAACCCCGCUCGAUGCAAGAGAAUAACGGCGAAUAAGGUUGCCCGUCUUGCCGUUAUAAAUCGCUGGAGCCUGCCGGCGACGGCAGGCCUAGACAGAUGACCGUUCAAGACAGAACUCGGCUUACAGACUAAUCUCACAAA
rnacentral:RNase_P_RNA from 1 species